ACAGAGAAUAACACAGGCAAACUGCAGGCCAACCUUGGGGAGAUAGUUUCUUUAGAGAUGCCCUCUACUGAGUGCCCCUGAUAUCCAAGGAACAUGGAAGGCAGUCCCCAAAUGAAGAGCAAUUGUAUUCCUUUAAUUCAGUCAUAAAUCAACUCUCAAUUCUAUGAGAUUUUUCACAGAAGAACGGAGCGCCUCAAAGGUGGAUCAAGGCAGAAAUGGAUGUGGAAAUUAUCAUCCUGUACCUUUGAGGUAAAGAGGCUUCUACAGCUCUGGCAUGAGCUACCACAGGUCAUAACCAUUAGGAAAGAAACUGGAAUGUUACCAUGCCAGGCUUGGUGAAUAAACUAAAGUUUUGCUGGUGGUGGCACAGGAAAAAAAUGAAGAAACCAAGAGGACUUGAACCAAGUGGGUAUGACUCCAAAGCCCAUGCUUUAAAUGAACAAAUUGGCCUACCCUCUAAGGCAAGAACCCUUUAAUAGUGGUCUAUGUCAGAAAAAUAUCAAAAAGACUCAAGGCUCUUAAAUAAAUAAGGAAAUGGAUAGCUACAGAAAGAACUGAGUACUGUGUGGGAAGCCGGGAUGCAUGCAUUCCAAGAUCUCAUCCAA
rnacentral:lncRNA from 1 species